rnacentral:tRNA from 1 species
GUCUUAUAUAGCUUAACUCUUAAAGCACUGAUCUUGUAAAUCAGAAAUGGGAUUUGAAACCCCUAAAGACA